UACGUAGGGUGCGAGCGUUAAUCGGAAUUACUGGGCGUAAAGCGUGCGCAGGCGGUUCUCCAAGUCCGUUGUGAAGGCCCCGGGCUCAACCUGGGAAUGGCAGUGGAAACUAGGGGACUGGAAUCUGGCAGAGGGGGGUGGAAUGCCGCGUGUAGCAGUGAAAUGCGUAGAGAUGCGGCGGAACACCGAUGGCGAAGGCAGCCCCCUGGGCUGAGAUUGACGCUCAGGCACGAAAGCGUGGGGAGCAAACAGG
rnacentral:rRNA from 1 species